AGGACAGGCAGAUAUGGCUGCCCCUGCACCGUAAGGCGCAGGGGAGGAAAGUCCGGGCUCCAUGGGGCGGCGUAGUGGGUAACUCCCAUCCAUCCUGAGUAAUCAAGAUGAGGAUCAGAGCUACAGAGACGAGCCUUCGCCUUGGCGAAGAUGUGAAACGAGCAAUCUCUGCGUGGAGCAAAGCCGAAUAGUCCCGCCCUUCCUGUCGAGAGACAGGAUAAGGACGGCCCCUCCGAUAACCUAUUUAAGGAAGGGCGGGAGGGUAGGCUGCUUGAUCCCGGUGGUAACACCGGGACUUAGAGGAAUGGCCAUUUCUGAAGCGAAACAAUCGCAUCAAGACAGAACCCGGCUUAUAUGCCUGUCCUUAUU
rnacentral:RNase_P_RNA from 1 species